GUCUAAAGCUAGCGAAAUGAGGGAUGCUCAACUACCGGACCUACCGAUAGAUGGCUGUACCAGCUGAUUACUGUCGUCUGUAUUGCCCGCCAUAUUUGAAUUUGCCACGAAGUUUUUUCUCGGUCUGUACGGUGUAUAAGGAAUUAAGGAUUAUCGAAAUGGUGAUUUCUUGUUCCGCUUUCAAUUGUACGAAGUGAUGGAGUAAGGAAAGUGACUUACCAUUUCACAGGUAAUAGGAUUACCGAUACAAGACGACAACAAUACAGACUUAGUGUGUUUGCUAAUUCGAUGUUUUUGAACAGGUUUCCUCUGAAGCACCCAGAGCUGCUAAAGAAGUGGAUUACUUUCGUGAAGCGGAAAGAUUUUAAACCUACGUCUUGCAGUUUUCUUUGUGGAAACCUUUUCCGACAAGAUGAUUACGUAGUGAGCCCUGGAACGUGGAAGAAACGUCUCAGACCCGAAACAGUGCCAUCAGUUUUUGACUUUCCGACACAUUUGAUGCCACCAAAUAAACAUCCACGACGACGUGUUUGGAUUUUGAGUGACAACGAUGCUUCUCCAUUUGAGCGUUCUGUCCUGGAGUCUGUGCUUCAUUUGCCCUCUACAGAAGCUACUGAUUGCGUGGAGAAUGUUGUCAAUGAGAAUUCUUCCCUGGAAAGCAUGUCCCAUUUAUCCAAUGCAGAAGCUGCGAAUUGUGUCGAAAACAGUGCAGUUGGUUCUCAAGUAAUUGAUUGUGGUAUACAGUCGAAAGUAGAAAUGGAAGACAAGGUAUCCGAAACUUGCAAUUUUUCUCAGACAUUGUGCACGAAUUAAAACGUAAACUGAAGUGUGUCUGUGAAAAACUUCGAAGAAGAGAGAAGAAAGUGUUUUCCAUGGAUGACAUCAUAAGUUCAUCGAAGGAGAAGGGGCAUCUUCCUGAGAAGUUACUUAACUUCCUCAAUCAUCAGAAAGGAACACAAGUGGAAUCAGUGUGCAAUUUAGUGGACAACUCUCUCUCGUCAAAGGGUAAUAGUUACACAACAAAUGUGAAAAUGUUUGCGAUGACUGUGUACUUUUAUUCACCAGCAGCAUAUGAAUACCUGCAAAAAUUAAUGCCUCUUAAAUCAUUGAUUUCCAAAUGGGUGGCAAGUGUCGACUGUGAAACUGGCUUCUUAAAAGAUGUUUUUAAGUACGUUGAUUCGAACCCAAUUGUAAGGGACCAGUUCAGCGAUUCUUGUCUAAUUGGAGAUGGUGUGGCAAUUAGGAAGCAAGUAGUUUGGGACCAAGGAACUAUGCAAUACACAGGUUUUUUAGAGUUUGGUGGGGAAGUGCCUCAGUCAAAAGAAGUAAUAGAGGCAUCUGAGGCUCUGGUUUUCAUGCCUGUCCCUAUUAAAGGCAAAUUUAUAUGCCCGAUUGCAUAUUUCUUUAUCAAAGGUGUACAGGCAAAUAAUCGGCCACACUGAUAAAAUCCGCAUUAGAGAAGCUGCAUAGUUCUGGCAUUAGGGUUUGGUGUGUUACAUGUGAUGGCUGCAAGGUAAAUAUAAGCACUUUACGUACACUUGGCCGUAUUUUAAAUUUUUCCAAGGGUGAUUUUAAAAGCUACAAUGUUUAUUGUAUCUUGGAAAUGUCAUAUGAUUAAGUUUGCCAGAAAUGCUCUAGCAGAAGUAUCUGCUAUUGAGUCUCCAACUGGCAUUAUUAGAUGGCAUUUCGUUGAGGAAUUGAACAAGGUACAGCAAGAAGAAGGUAUGACAUUUGCCAUCAAUCUAUCAGGACAACAUAUAAGUUAUGUAAAUAGAAAAAUGAAUGUUUCAUUGGCUCCACAGACUUUGGGUUCUAGUGUGGCAGAUAGUAUAGAGUUUUUGAGGAGGGUUGGUGAUCCAAAUAUUAAAGAAAGUGAAGCAA